GGCCGGCUGGCUCAAUGGUAGAGCAUCAGACUUCUACCCUCUCGCGCACCCCGAGACGUAGUUAUCUGAAGGCUGCGGGUUCGAGCCCCGCGUUGGUCA
rnacentral:tRNA from 1 species